rnacentral:rRNA from 1 species
UACGAAGGGGGGCUAGCGUUGUUCGGAUUUACUGGGCGUAAAGCGCACGUAGGCGGAUUGUUAAGUCAGGGGUGAAAUCCCGGAGCUCAACUCCGGAACUGCCUUUGAUACUGGCAAUCUAGAGUCCGGAAGAGGUGAGUGGAACUCCUAGUGUAGAGGUGGAAUUCGUAGAUAUUAGGAAGAACACCAGUGGCGAAGGCGGCUCACUGGUCCGGUACUGACGCUGAGGUGCGAAAGCGUGGGGAGCAAACAGG